AUCUCACUCUAUCGCCCAGGCUGGAGUGCAGUAGUGCAAUCUUGGCUCACUGCAGCCUCUUCCUCCCAGGUUCAAGUGAUUCUCCUGCCUCAGCCUCUGAAGUAGCUGGGACCACAGGCAAAAGCCACCAUGCCUGGCUAAUUUUUGUAUUUUUAGUGGAGAUGACACCUACUGCUUCUUUAAAUUCAUCUCAUCAGGCAUUGCAUGAGGAUGAAUCACCUCCAUACAUCCUGCACGUCCACCCCACUGCCCAGCUACUUGUUGCAUACUUCGGAGCUCAGCCAUUUACCAGCUGUGUGACCUGAAGCAAGGUAUUUAACUUCUCUGUAGCUGGUUUUCUCAUCUCUAAAAGGGUUAUCAUAAUAGAUCAUAUAUCACAGGCUCAUUUUGUGGACUUUACUUAAUGCAGAUAAAGUGCUUAGAUAGUACCUGGCAUACUGCAAAUGCUAUAUGAGUGUUUGAUGUUGCUGUUAUUACAGUAGGAGAAUGUCUAAAAAGUGAGAUUGGUUCAUUUAAUGCCACUCUCUUCAACAGCUAAAAUAAGUCAUCCCUCAUAUGAGAUAUAUAUAUAGAGUUUAUUUCAUUUUAUGAGAUGGAGUUUUGCUCUUGUCACCCAGGCUGGAAUGCAGAGGUGCAACCUCAGCUCACUGCAACCUCUGCCUCCCAGGUUCAAGUGAUUCUCCUGUCUCAGCCUCCCGAUUAGCUGGGAUUACAGGAGCAUACCACCACACCUAGCUAAUUUUUGUAUUUUUAGUAGAGACAGGGUUUCACCAUGUUGGCUAGGCUGGUCUCAAACUCCUGACCUCAGGUGAUCUGCUCACCUCAGCCUCCC
rnacentral:lncRNA from 1 species